AACGAACGCUGGCGGCAUGCCUAACACAUGCAAGUCGAACGAGACCUUCGGGUCUAGUGGCGAACGGGUGCGUAACGCGUGGGAACCUGCCCUUAGGUUCGGAAUAACUCCCCGAAAGGGGUGCUAAUACCGGAUAAUGUCUUCGGACCAAAGAUUUAUCGCCUUUGGAUGGGCCCGCGUUGGAUUAGCUAGUUGGUAGGGUAAAAGCCUACCAAGGCGACGAUCCAUAGCUGGUCUGAGAGGAUGAUAAGUCACACUGGGACUGAUACACGGCCCAGACUCCUACCGGAGGCAGCAGUGGGGAAUAUUGGACGAUGGACGAAAGCCUAAUCCAGCAAUGCCGCGUGAGUGAUGAAGGCCUUAGGGUUGUAAAGCCCUUUUACCCGAGAUGAUAAUGACAGUACCGGGAGAAUAAGCUCCGGCUAACUCCGUG
rnacentral:rRNA from 1 species